GAUGAACGCUGGCGGCGUGCUUAACACAUGCAAGUCGAACGGGAAUUAUUUUAUUGAAACUUCGGUCGAUUUAAUUUAAUUCUAGUGGCGGACGGGUGAGUAACGCGUGGGUAACCUGCCUUAUACAGGGGGAUAACAGUCAGAAAUGGCUGCUAAUACCGCAUAAGCGCACAGAGCUGCAUGGCUCAGUGUGAAAAACUCCGGUGGUAUAAGAUGGACCCGCGUUGGAUUAGCUGGUUGGUGGGGUAACGGCCCACCAAGGCGACGAUCCAUAGCCGGCCUGAGAGGGUGAACGGCCACAUUGGGACUGAGACACGGCCCAGACUCCUACGGGAGGCAGCAGUGGGGAAUAUUGCACAAUGGGGGAAACACUGAUGAAGCGACGCCGCGUGAAGGAAGAAGUAUCUCGGUAUGUAAACUUCUAUCAGCAGGGAAGAUAGUGACGGUACCUGACUAAGAAGCCCCGGCUAACUACGUG
rnacentral:rRNA from 1 species